rnacentral:rRNA from 1 species
GAUGAACGCUAGCUACAGGCUUAACACAUGCAAGUCGAGGGGUAACGAGAGGGAAGCUUGCUUUCCUUGUCGACGACCGGCGCACGGGUGAGUAACGCGUAUCCAACCUGCCCCCAACUAAGGAAUAACCUUGCGAAAGUAAGACUAAUACCCUAUAAUUUCCUCAGAUGACAUCUGACGAGGAAUAAAGAUUUAUCGGUUGUGGAUGGGGAUGCGUCGGAUUAGCUUGUUGGCGGGGUAACGGCCCACCAAGGCAACGAUCAGUAGGGGUUCUGAGAGGAAGGGCCCCAAAAUUGGAACGGAAACACGGUCCAACCUCCUACGGGAGGCAGCAGUGAGGAAUAUUGGUCAAUGGGCGGAAGCCUGAACCAGCAAAGUAGCGUGCAGGAUGACGGCCCUAUGGGUUGUAAACUGUUUUUAUACAGGAAUAAAGUUAGCCACGUGUGGUUUUUUGUAGGUACUGUAUGAAUAAGGACCGGCUAAUUCCGUGCCAGCCGCCGCGGUAA